rnacentral:rRNA from 1 species
GACGAACGCUGGCGGCGUGCUUAACACAUGCAAGUCGAACGGUGAAGCAGAGCUUGCUCUGUGGAUCAGUGGCGAACGGGUGAGUAACACGUGAGUAACCUGCCCUUGACUCUGGGAUAAGCGUUGGAAACGACGUCUAAUACCGGAUACGAGCUGAGACCGCAUGGUCAUCAGUUGGAAAGAUUUUUUGGUCAAGGAUGGACUCGCGGCCUAUCAGCUUGUUGGUGAGGUAAUGGCUCACCAAGGCGACGACGGGUAGCCGGCCUGAGAGGGUGACCAGCCACACUGGGACUGAGACACGGCCCAGACUCCUACGGGAGGCAGCAGUGGGGAAUAUUGCACAAUGGGCGCAAGCCUGAUGCAGCAACGCCGCGUGAGGGAUGACGGCCUUCGGGUUGUAAACCUCUUUUAGUAGGGAAGAAGCGAAAGUGACGGUACCUGCAGAAAAAGCACCGGCUAACUACGUG